CCUUCGAUAGCUCAGUUGGUAGAGCGGAGGACUGUAGGUGUGUACUUGUGGUCAUCCUUAGGUCGCUGGUUCGAAUCCGGCUCGAAGGA
rfam:Ictidomys tridecemlineatus contig091251, whole genome shotgun sequence.